AUUGAACGCUGGCGGCAGGCUUAACACAUGCAAGUCGAGCGGAGAUGAGGUGCUUGCACCUUAUCUUAGCGGCGGACGGGUGAGUAAUGCUUAGGAAUCUGCCUAUUAGUGGGGGACAACAUUCCGAAAGGAAUGCUAAUACCGCAUACGUCCUACGGGAGAAAGCAGGGGAUCUUCGGACCUCGCGCUAAUAGAUGAGCCUAAGUCGGAUUAGCUAGUUGGUGGGGUAAAGGCCUACCAAGGCGACGAUCUGUAGCGGGUCUGAGGGGAUGAUCCGCCGCACUGGGACUGAGACACGGCCCAGACUCCUACGGGAGGCAGCAGUGGGGAAUAUUGGACAAUGGGCGGAAGCCUGAUCCAGCCAUGCCGCGUGUGUGAAGAAGGCCUUUUGGUUGUAAAGCACUUUAAGCGAGGAGGAGGCUACCUAGAUUAAUACUCUGGGAUAGUGGACGUUACUCGCAGAAUAAGCACCGGCUAACUCUGUGCCAGCCGCCGCAGUAACAC
rnacentral:rRNA from 1 species